rnacentral:lncRNA from 1 species
UACAGCCUGUUUGGGCCUUUCCGAGCACUUAAGUUUCAAUUUCCUGUCCUAUUUGCUGCCUACAACCUGUUCACCGCUUCAGCUGUAUACAGUGGGUGUAUACUCGUGUAUAUCAUUGUAUACGACUGUAUACAACCCAUUUGUAGGCCUCUUUCUUUGACUUGCCACAUGCCUUCAACCUUUAUGCCUGCUCUCGACGGCCUGGCCGACUCAAGUGACAAAGAAAUGAGCCCUUAUG